GAUGAACGCUGGCGGCGUGCCUAAUACAUGCAAGUCGAGCGAACAGACGAGGAGCUUGCUCCUCUUACGUUAGCGGCGGACGGGUGAGUAACACGUGGAUAACCUACCUAUAAGACUGGGAUAACUUCGGGAAACCGGAGCUAAUACCGGAUAAUAUAUUGAACCGCAUGGUUCAAUAGUGAAACACGGUUUUGCUGUCACUUAUAGACGGAUCCGCGCCUCAUUAGCUAGUUGGUAAGGUAACGGCUUACCAAGGCAACGAUGCGUAGCCGACCUGAAAGGGUGAUCGGCCACACUGGAAAUGAAGCACGGGCCAGACUCCUACGGGGAGCAGCAGUAGGGAAUCUUCCGCAAUGGGCGAAAGCCUGACGGAGCAACGCCGCGUGAGUGAUGAAGGUCUUCGGAUCGUAAAACUCUGUUAUUAGGGAAGAACAAAUGUGUAAGUAACUAUGCACGUCUUGACGGUACCUAAUAAGAAAGCCACGGCUAACUACGUG
rnacentral:rRNA from 1 species